GCCAGCUCCAAAUGAGUAUCUGUCUUAUGAGAUUAUGGUGAAGAUUUAGUCUGUGAAAAGUACUUAGGACAGUGCCUGGUGCAUAGUGCUAUUUAAGUUUUAGCUAUUAUUAUUAAAACAUGGAUAUAUUAUGAAGUACAAAGAAAACGAAUGUGAAUUUAAGACCAAAGACUUUGAAGAAAUGUCAUCUGCAGUUCUGUCCCGGCUUCCAAGAGAUUUGCUCUCACUUUCUUCUGCCAGCAAAAAUACUCACAUGAUUUUUACGACACAAGCCUACAAGAGAAUCCAGGUGUCUUCAUGUUCUUCUAAUUUCCUGGGCCAUUCUCUCCCCAUCCAACCUUCCACAUCUCAGGACCACUCACCCACCUGUUCUCAUCCAGAUAUUUGUCUUCCUAUGUCUUAUAAUAUUUGCUUAUUACAAAGAUAAUAUAUGCAAACUUUAGAAAAUACCGUAUUUAUUCUUUAGUUUUUAAAAAAAUGAAUAGGAAUUUGGUACGUAAUAUACUGGGGAGGAGGGAAGGCAAUGAAGAUAGAGGGAAUAGCAUGAACAAAGAUCCAGAGGUAAGCUAUGUUCCAGAAGAGCAAGUCUAUUUUGGCUUGAGAGUAAUUGAAGAUGAGGCUGGAAAAACAGGCUCAGUUCAUAUCACUUGAGGAUUUUAAAUGGUACAUACAGUGAAGAGUCUGGAUUUGAUUUCACCUCUCUAAAUGUAUACCCUAUAUAAGAAAUACAAUGACUGUCAUUAGGAGUUGGGGACAAGGCUUCUUCUCCUUGGUAUAGCCAUCCCACCUCUGAGGCUCGCCUGCAAUUCAGUUUCAUUUUUGAGAUCUUAUUUUCCUGCAAUGUGUAUCUCAACCACCAGAGGGAGCUCGCUACAAAAGAAUCAGAACUCCAAGCUCAACAGGAAAAUUGUGGAGGGUAUGGCUGAGCAAGGGGUGUGGAAUCCUGGGCCAAAUCCAGAGCUUCUCAACGAUAGGGUUGGGGCAUGAUCCAGGUGCCCCCUCUGUGGCUCUCUUUUCUUUCUUAGACCACAUCCCAAGGAGAGGGGUGGGGCAUGCUGCCACAACCUAAAACUUAGCAGCUAGCCAGAUGUAAACUCUCUAGGAUGGGGGGUAGAAGAUGAGGGCCAGAUCUAGUUUGGGGGCCUGAGUUGUUUUGCAACUCAAGUAAAAAAAGCUUUCAUCAAUUCUGCUCACAAGCCACUGGGCCUAACUCCUUAGAAUACCCUGUGCCAGGCUAGGUAGUCUAGCUAGACCUGGGAACCUUAGACAAGGAGCUGGGGCUGCAGUGUGAGGAAGGGGGAAGGAGGAGAAGCAGCGCUGUAGAGGAUCCAUCUUCAGCGUGGCACCCACAUUGCCCUGGGACUCCUGCCUCUAGGUCUAUCACAAAGAGCUAUGGGACCUAGCUUCUCCAAUCAUGACUUACUAACCUAGUGUUUCACAGGAUUUUUACAAAAUCUCCUUUACCUUCGUUUUCUCCACUUACCUGCACUAAGCAGGGACUCUUCUGUUACAGAUGUUAAAAUGAAGACAUUUAUCAGAGACAUUUAGCAAUUACCCAAGUAGCACUCAAGGGCAGAGCUGGGCCUGGAAGCAGUAGGAGCAGCCCUGAGGGGCCUAGGAAAGGGAAGGAGGCAGACAGAGCAACAGCCUUCAGAACUGCUGCAGCAAGCACUGGCUCUUGGCCAGGCUUCAUGCCCGCCCCUCCAGGGCCAGCUCUGCUGGUAGGCCCCAGGCUCCCAGCCCCGCCUCCACACUCCCACCCCAUUCCCCUGAGAGCCCAUCACCCUGGCAACAGGCAGAGAAAGGCCCAGCUAAAAUAUUUAUGGCUCAAAACAGUCCAGAGGCUUGGAUUGGG
ensembl:lncRNA